UGAGGAAUAUUGGUCAAUGGACGGAAGUCUGAACCAGCCAUGCCGCGUGAAGGAUGAAGGCGUUCUGCGUUGUAAACUUCUUUUAUCUGAGAAGAAACCACCGAUUUCUAUUGGUGUUGACGGUAUCAGAUGAAUAAGCACCGGCUAACUCCGUGCCAGCAGCCGCGGUAAUACGGAGGGUGCAAGCGUUAUCCGGAUUUACUGGGUUUAAAGGGUGUGUAGGCGGACUUAUAAGUCAGGGGUGAAAUCUCCGAGCUCAACUCGGAAACUGCCUUUGAUACUAUUAGUCUUGAAUUAUGUUGAGGUUGGCGGAAUAUAACAUGUAGCGGUGAAAUGCAUAGAUAUGUUAUAGAACACCGAUUGCGAAGGCAGCUGGCUAAACAUAUAUUGACGCUGAGGCACGAAAGCGUGGGUAGCGAACA
rnacentral:rRNA from 1 species